GCCCGGCUAGCUCAGUCGGCAGAGCACGAGACUCUUAAUCUUGGGGUCGUGGGUUCGAACCCCACUUUGGGUG